CACCGCGGGGCGCGGCCCGGGCUGCCGGGAGUGCUGCGCGCCGCGACCCCCAGACAGCUGGGACCCCCGCGGGGUGCUCACAAGACCGGACCCUUCCCCUGAAGGAUGUCCCGCCGAGCGCCUAGCCACCUGUAAGAAAGUACCGCCUGGUUAUUAUUGGGAGUAGUCUGUUCAACUGAUUUGAAGUUUGCAGCGAAGGGGGAGCGUGUCACUACAGCUCACAGAACUUGUUUGCUUGUGGCUCUGUGUACCAAUUCUUGCUCAGCCUCUUUGUUGUGAUCUGAGAAGAGUCUCUCCAAGUCCCCAUGCCUCUGUUCUGGCUCCUAUCCUGAGUGAGAUGGACACUUCAGAAGGGCUAGGAUCUGGCACAAAGCACACUGCUUACUAGUGUGAGAAUUGCCAGAUGGGAAUAAAAGCAAUGGCACUAAACAUGCCUUGACCGCAGCCAGUCAUCCCAGGGCACUGAGAACAAGGGAGACUCUGCUAAUACUCACCAAGGGUUGAUCAAGUUCCUUGGGUAUCUGCUA
rnacentral:lncRNA from 1 species